rnacentral:rRNA from 1 species
UGCUUACUCUAGCCCAACCAACCCUACACUUCCAAAAAUCCACUACUAUGCUAAACUAAAACAUUCUACCUUUUCAACCCAGUAUAGGCGAUAGAAAAGACACUCUCGGCGCAAUAGAGUUGAACCGUACCGUAAGGGAAAGAUGAAAUAAUAAUGAAACCCCGAGCAACAAACAGCAAAGAUUAACCCUUGUACCUUUUGCAUCAUGAUUUAGCAAGAACAACCAAGCAAAACGGAUUGAAGCUUGCCCCCCCGAAACCCAAGCGAGCUACUUACAGGCAGCCCAUUACCUGGGGCAAACCCGUCUCUGUCGCAAAAGAGUGGGACGACCUGUCAGUAGCGGUGAAAAGCCUAUCGAGCUGGGUGAUAGCUGGUUGCCCACCAAACGAAUCUAAGUUCUCCCUUAAUUUUCCCUCCAGGACCCACUAACCUCCUUGUAAUAGAAUUAAGAGCUACUCAAAGGAGGUACAGCUCCUUUGACAAAGAACACAACCUCCUCUAGCGGAUAACCUCCCCCCCUCCCCCUUGUGGGCCUUAAAGCAGCCACCAACAAAGAGUGCGUCAAAGCUCAUAGCCCAAAAAAUCUAAAAACACACGCGACUCCCUUACCCACAAUGGGCCAACCUAUUAUAAUAGAAGAAUUAAUGCUAGAAUGAGUAACCUGGGAUCCUCCCUCCAAAAGCGUAAACUUACAUUAAUACAUUAUUAACAGACCACCUAUACCCCCACUUCAACAAGAACACGUAUUCCUUCUUCUGUUAAACCCACCCAGGAACGCCUACUGGACGAUUAAAAUCUGUAAAAGGAACUCGGCAAACCCAAGGCCCGACUGUUUACCAAAAACAUAGCCUUCAGCCAAUAACAAGUAUUGAAGGUGAUGCCUGCCCAGUGACAUCAAAGUUCAACGGCCGCGGUAUCCUAACCGUGCAAAGGUAGCGCAAUCAAUUGUCCCAUAAAUCGAGACUUGUAUGAACGGCUAAACGAGGUCUUAACUGUCUCCUACAGAUGAUCGGUGAAAUUGAUACUCUCGUGCAAAAGCGAGAAUAUGAACAUAAGACGAGAAGACCCUGUGGAACUUAAAAAUCAACGACCACCUAAUCAAAUAUUCCCCCAUACGGGCCCACCUACUACCAUUAGUGCCUGGUCAACAUUUUUCGGUUGGGGCGACCUUGGAGAAAAAAGAACCCUCCAAAUCAACCCAGGCCACAACCCUUCACUAAGAGCUACCGCUCAAAGUGCUAAAAGCCACCAGACCCAAUACAAUUGACCAAUGGACCAAGCUACCCCAGGGAUAACAGCGCAAUCCCCUCCAAGAGCCCGUAUCGACAAGGGGGUUUACGACCUCGAUGUUGGAUCAGGACAACCUAAUGGUGCAGCCGCUAUUAAGGGUUCGUUUGUUCAACGAUUAACAGUCCUACGUGAUCUGAGUUCAGACCGGAGCAAUCCAGGUCGGUUUCUAUCUAUGAAACACCUCUUCCAGUACGAAAGGACCGAAGAAGUGGGGCCAAUACCACAAGCAUGCCCUCCCUCUAAGUAGUGAAUUCAACUCAACUACCAAGAAAUCAGCACUCCACAAUUACCGUCCAAGAAAAGGACCU